UACGGCAACUGAAUCACUUGGUAG
rnacentral:siRNA from 1 species